rnacentral:rRNA from 1 species
UGGGGAAUAUUGCACAAUGGGGGAAACCCUGAUGCAGCGACGCCGCGUGAGCGAAGAAGGCUUUCGAGUCGUAAAGCUCUGUCCUAUGAGAAGAUAAUGACGGUAUCAUAGGAGGAAGCCCUGGCUAAAUACGUGCCAGCAGCCGCGGUAAUACGUAUGGGGCGAGCGUUGUCCGGAAUUAUUGGGCGUAAAGGGUACGUAGGCGGGUUUUUAAGUCAGGUGUCAAAGCGUGGAGCUUAACUCCAUUAAGCACUUGAAACUGAAAGACUUGAGUGAAGGAGAGGAAAGUGGAAUUCCUAGUGUAGCGGUGAAAUGCGUAGAUAUUAGGAGGAAUACCGGUGGCGAAGGCGACUUUCUGGACUUUUACUGACGCUCAGGUACGAAAGCGUGGGGAGCAAACAGG